UUAACUACGGGUGGCAGCAGUGAGGAAUUUUGCGCAAUGGGGGAAACCCUGACGCAGCAACGCCGCGUGAGUGAUGAAGGCUUUCGGGUCGUAAAGCUCUGUCAAGUGGGAAGAACCUGCUUUGUGAUAAUACCACGAAGCACUGACGCCACCACUGAAGNNAGCACCGGCUAACUCCGUGCCAGCAGCCGCGGUAAUACGGGGGGUGCUAGCGUUAUUCGGAAUCAUUGGGCGUAAAGGGCGCGUAGGCGGUCUCUUAAGUCAGAUGUGAAAGCCCUCGGCUUAACCGAGGAAGUGCAUUUGAUACUAAGAGACUUGAGUAUGGGAGAGGGAAGCGGAAUUCCUGGUGUAGCGGUGAAAUGCGUAGAUAUCAGGAGGAACACCGGUGNNGAAGGCGGCUUCCUGGACCAAUACUGACGCUGAGGCGCGAAGGCGUGGGNNGCAAACAGGAUUAGAUACCNNUGUAGUCC
rnacentral:rRNA from 1 species